rnacentral:rRNA from 1 species
CGACCGGGGCGACAGCAAUAGUGAAGGUCAGGCUGAAGACCUUACCGGAUUAGCUGAGAGGUGGUGCAUGGCCGUCGCCAGUUCGUACUGUGAAGCAUCCUGUUAAGUCAGGCAACGAGCGAGACCCACGUCCACAGUUGCCAGCAGUACCCUCCGGGGUGAUGGGUACACUGGUGGAGACCGCCGCUGCUAAAGCGGAGGAAGGAAUGGGCAACGGUAGGUCAGUAUGCCCCGAAUCUCCCGGGCUACACGCGGGCUACAAUGGUUGGUACAAUGGGCAUCUACCCCGAAAGGUGAAGGCAAUCUCCUAAACCCAUCCGUAGUUCGGAUUGUGGGCUGCAACUCGCCCACAUGAAGCUGGAAUCUGUAGUAAUCGUGUCUCAAAAUGGCACGGUGAAUAUGUCCCUGCUCCUU